GUCCACCCCUGCCUCAGCCCCCCGGCCUCCAGACGUCUCGUCCUUCCUCAGCUUCCCGUCUCCAGACAAACUGCUCAAACUAGGAGCCAAGAGAGCGCUGCUGAUCGAGCAGCAGGUGGAUGUAUCCGAUGCUUCAAAAACAGCUGAAGCUUUCCUAAAGAUCGCAUCUGUGUAUAAGGAGGAGAAUAGUGACGUUAAGAUUGCCGUGUUGGACAGCAUCGAUGCCCUUCUGAAGAAAGCUUUUGCCACUCCGUCCUUCCAAGGCUACAGCUUCGUAUCGUCUCUGUUGGUGCUGCUCGGACUUCUCAA